rnacentral:rRNA from 1 species
GACGAACGCUGGCGGCGUGCCUAAUACAUGCAAGUCGAACGCAGUGGGGACGGGUGAGUAACACGUGGGUAACCUCCCAUCAGAGGGGAUAACACUUGGAAACAGGUGCUAAACCGAUACUGAUGGAUGGACCUGCGGUGCCUUGGCUAGUUGGUGAGGUAAAGGCUCACCAAGGCCACGAUGCAUAGACGACCGGAGAGGGGGAGCGGCCCCACUGGGACGGAGACACGGCCCAGACUCCUCCGGUAGGCAGCGGUAGGGAAGCUUCGGCAAUGGACGAAAGUCUGACCGAGCAACGCCGCGUGAGGGAAGAAGGUUUUCGGAUCGUAAAACUAUGUUGUUAGAGAAGCGGUAUCUAACCAGAAAGUCACGGCUAACUACGUGCCAGCAGCCGCGGUAAUUC